rnacentral:rRNA from 1 species
AAUAGCUCACUGGUCAAGUGAUUCCGCGCCGACAAUGUAGCGGGGCUCAAGCACAUCACCGAAGCUGUGGCAAUGACACACUGACCCUUAACGGGGGUGUUGUUGGGUAGGGGAGCGUCGUGUGGCGAGUGAAGCGGCCGAGUGAUCGAGUCGUGGAUGCUACACGAGUGAGAAUGCAGGCAUGAGUAGCGAAUGACGGGUGAGAAACCCGUCCGCCGAAUAACCAAGGGUUCCAGGGUCAAGCUAAUCUGCCCUGGGUAAGUCGGGACCUAAGGCGAGGCCGACAGGCGUAGUCGAUGGACAUCCGGUUGAUAUUCCGGAACCGGCGAAGAACCGCCCAUACUGAACCAUGGGAUGCUAAACACCCGAACCAUGCCAACCGGUCCUUCGGGAUCAUCUGGUGUGGGGAGCGUGUGACCCGAUCGUGUAGUAGGUAAGCGAUGGAGUGACGCAGGAAGG